rnacentral:rRNA from 1 species
GACGAACGCUGGCGGCGUGCUUAACACAUGCAAGUCGAACGCGAAAGCCCUUCGGGGCGAGUAGAGUGGCGAACGGGUGAGUAACACGUGGGCAACCUGCCCCAAGGAGCGGGACAACCCGGGGAAACUCGGGCUAAUACCGCAUGAUUCGCCGGCACUCAAGUGCCGGCGGCAAAUGGUAGCUUCGGCCUCCGCCUUGGGAUGGGCCCGCGGCGCAUUAGCUUGUUGGUGAGGUAACGGCUCACCAAGGCGACGAUGCGUAGCUGGUCUGAGAGGACGAGCAGCCACACUGGAACUGAGACACGGUCCAGACUCCUACGGGAGGAAGCAGUGGGGAAUUUUGGACAAUGGGCGCAAGCCUGAUCCAGCAAUGCCGCGUGCAGGAUGAAGGCCUUCGGGUUGUAAACUGCUUUUGUACGGAACGAAACGGCCCUUUCUAAUACAGGGGGCUAAUGACGGUACCGUAAGAAUAAGCACCGGCUAACUACGUGCCAGCAGCCGCGGUAAUAC